rnacentral:rRNA from 1 species
CGUGAGUGAUGAAGGCCUUCGGGUUGUAAAGCUCUUUUACCGGGAACGAUAAUGACGGUACCUGGAGAAUAAGCUCCGGCUAACUCCGUGCCAGCAGCCGCGGUAAUACUUAGGGAGCUAGCGUUGUUCGGAAUUACUGGGCGUAAAGCGCGCGUAGGCGGUUUCUCAAGUCUGAGGUGAAAGCCCCCGGCUCAACCCCGGAACUGCCCCUGAAACUGGGUGGCUAGAAUCUUGGAGAGGUCAGUGGAAUUCCGAGUGUAGAGGUGAAAUUCGUAUAUAUUCGGAAGAACACCAGUGGCGAAGGCGACUGACUGGACCAGUAUUGACGCUGAUGUGCGAAAGCGUGGGGAGCAAACAGGAUUAAAUACCCUGGUAGUCCACGCCGUAAACGAUGAUUACUAGCUGUCCGGGAACUUGGUGCUUGGGUGGCGCGGCUAACCCAUUAACUUGUCGCCCUGGGGAGUACGGUCGCAAGAUUAAAACUC